rnacentral:rRNA from 1 species
CCAAUAGCGUAUAUUAAAGUUGUUGUGGUUAAAAAGCUCGUAGUUGAACCUUGGGCCUGGCUGGCCGGUCCGCCUCACCGCGUGUACUGGUCCGGCCGGGCCUUUCCCUCUGUGGAACCCCAUGCCCUUCACUGGGUGUGGCGGGGAAACAGGACUUUUACUUUGAAAAAAUUAGAGUGCUCCAGGCCGGCCUAUUCUCGAAUACAUUAGCAUGGAAUAAUAGAAUAGGACGGGUGGUUCUUUUUUGUUGGUUUCUAGGACCGCCGUAAUGAUUAAUAGGGACAGUCGGGGGCAUCAGUAUUCAAUUGUCAGAGGUUAAAUUCUUGGAUUUAUUGAAGACUAACUACUGCGAAAGCAUUUGCCAAGGAUGUUUUCAUUAAUCAGGAACGAAAGUUAGGGGAUCGAAGACGAUCAGAUACCGUCGUAGUCUUAACCAUAAACUAUGCCGACUAGGGAUCGGACGAUGUUAUUUUUUGACUCGUUCGGCACCUUACG